GAUAUUACUGUAUUGUAAUGUGAUUAUGUACUGUAUUUGUUUGUAUAAUGUUUGUGUUCAUGACUGUUCUAAUAUAUUAUCAUCUCUCUUUCGCAUAUGAUCUCGGAAAUACCGUGGUGCUUAGACGGAGAUGUUCCUGUAUCAAAACCCAAUGUCAGUGUCAUUAGUGAUGAAUAUCCCUGCAAGUUAAUGUGCACUGUGGAGAGAGGGACAGACGCGACCCUGACCUGGUACAGAGGGGAUGAGGAGAAACCCUACAGUAGCUCCCCUGUUCACAGUGCCCCAGAUCUGUAUCUACCUCAGACUGUGGAGAGGAGCGGUAUCUACACCUGUGAGGCGAAGAACUCUGUCAGUACUAAUAGAUCAGCCCCACUGACUGUGGGAGACCACUGCACAGGUGGAGCUGCAGGCAGCUGGCAGACGGAGGGCUGUAGAGUGUGGAGCCUGGCUCUGGGACUUGUUGUGACGCUGCACAGUCUUCUGGUCUGAGCCUGAUGAGUCAGAGCUGCAGAGGGCCCAGCAGGUUUCUGUUCUCCUGUCAUCCUGUCAUCCUGUCAUCCUCCACCUCAUGGGUCUAACUCUGUCCUGGGGGGCCCCCGUGUCUGCUGCCUGCCCCCUCUGUCUGUUCCCCCCCUGUGUCCGCUGCACCCUCUCUAUCUGCCAGUGAGACCCUUCAAUCUCAGAUAACCGUCACACGAUAAAAGACAAUUUCACUGUCAUGGAAUUUCAUUUUUCUGAACUUCUUAAACUGUUGCUGAUAGAACUCUGUUUAUUCCAUGUGCUCUUUACCUUCUGAAGCUGUGUACUCCAGCUCAGUGUCUCUCUGUGUCCACACCUUCUGAAGCUGUGUACUCCAGCUCAGUGUCUCUGUGUGUCCACACCUUCUGAAGCUGUGUGUAGUCCAGCUCAGUGUCUCUCUCUGUCCACACGUUCUGAAGCUGUGCACUCCAGCUCAGUGUAUCUGUGUCCACACCUUCUGAAGCUGUGUACUCCAGCGCAGUGUCUCUCUGUCAACAUUGAUGUGAAAUCCUGCUGUUUCAUUGCCAUUUUAAUUCAACCUUACUGACGUUAACUGCCUUUUUAUGGUUUAAUUCAGUCAUAUCACUUGUUCAGUUUAAUUUACUUCAGUGUCAUAUCGGUGCGGUUCAGUUUAUAGUUUAAUUCAGUUUUGUAUCCGUUUGUUCAGUUUAUUGUGUAAUUCAGUGUCAUGUCUCUGUCUCUUAUCUGUCUCUCAGGUGUUUAACAUUCAGAGUGGGGAUUCCUUAAUGCUACUGAAUUGUAUUACGUAUUUUAAGGAACAAAUUGAAACAUUUCUGUUGUGUCUGUGAAUUAUUUUCAGUGAUUAUGGGCUCCUAUUCCACAUAUGACACUGAAUUGUUGCAUUUAUAACUGACUCAUGUUCAAAUAAAAAAAUAUUUCUGAAUGGG